AUGCUAGCUUAGGCAACAUGUGUACUAAAACUGAAAAAAGUAUGGAGAAGACUAGAAUAACUGUUGCACAAGGAUGACACUCGAAUUUGUGAAGCAUUUCGUGUUUUU